rnacentral:tRNA from 2 species
GGCUUAGCUCAGUUGGUAGAGCAACGCACUCGUAACGCGUAGGUCGUAGGUUCAAGUCCUAUAGCCGG